GACGAACGCUGGCGGCGUGCCUAAUACAUGCAAGUAGGACGCAGUUGCGAACGGGUGAGUAACGCCUAGGUAACUGCCUAUUAGAGGGGGAUAACUAUUGGAAACGAUAGCUAAUACCGCCUACUAGUAGAUGGACCUUCGUUGUAUUAGCUAGUCGGUUGGGUAAUGGCCUACCUAGGCGACGAUACAUAGCCGAUCCGGGAGGGGGAACCGGCACACUGGGACUGAGAAACCGCCCAGACUCCCACGGGAGGGAGCAGGAGGGAAAUUUCGGCAAUGGGGCGAAACCUGAACAAGCCACGGCGCGUGAGUGAAGAAGGGUUUCGGAGUGUAAAGCUAUGUUGUUAAGGAAGCGGUACUUAAACAGAAAGGGACGGCUAACUACGUGCCAGCCGCCGCGGUAAUUC
rnacentral:rRNA from 1 species